CUUAACACUACAAACAACACAAGCAACACAAUGACCAGUAUACUAGCUAGCACUGCAAUUCUUAUUGCAUAAUAUACAUAAUUUGGUACAACAAAACCAAAACCAAAAAACAAAAACACUAUUUUGUUUUUGUUGUACCAAAUUAUGUAUAUUAUGCAAUAAGAAUUGCAGUGCUAUCUAGUAUACUGGUCAUCGUGUUGCUUGUGUUGUUUGUAGUGUUGAG